GGGUUGUGAGGUUAAGCGACUAAGCGUACACGGUGGAUGCCCUGGCAGUCAGAGGCGAUGAAGGGCGUGCUAAUCUGCGAUAAGCGCCGGUAAGGUGAUAUGAACCGUUAUAACCGGCGAUACCCGAAUGGGGAAACCCAGUGUGACUCGUCACACUAUCAUUAACUGAAUCCAUAGGUUAAUGAGGCGAACCGGGGGAACUGAAACAUCUAAGUACCCCGAGGAAAAGAAAUCAACCGAGAUUCCCCAGUAGCGGCGAGCGAACGGGGAGGAGCCCAGAGCCUGAAUCAGCAUGUGUGUUAGUGGAAGCGUCUGGAAAGGCGCGCGAUACAGGGUGACAGCCCCGUACACAAAAGCGCAUGUGCUGUGAGCUCGAUGAGUAGGGCGGGACACGUGGUAUCCUGUCUGAAUAUGGGGGACCAUCCUCCAAGGCUAAAUACUCCUGACUGACCGAUAGUGAACCAGUACCGUGAGGGAAAGGCGAAAAGAACCCCGGCGAGGGGAGUGAAAAAGAACCUGAAACCGUGUACGUACAAGCAGUGGGAGCACAGGUUUACCUGUGUGACUGCGUACCUUUUGUAUAAUGGGUCAGCGACUUAUAUUCUGUAGCAAGGUUAACCGAAUAGGGGAGCCGGAGGGAAACCGAGUCUUAAUUGGGCGUUAAGUUGCAGGGUAUAGACCCGAAACCCGGUGAUCUAGCCAUGGGCAGGUUGAAGGUUGGGUAACACUAACUGGAGGACCGAACCGACUAAUGUUGAAAAAUUAGCGGAUGACCUGUGGCUGGGGGUGAAAGGCCAAUCAAACCGGGAGAUAGCUGGUUCUCCCCGAAAGCUAUUUAGGUAGCGCCUCGUGAAUUCAUCUCCGGGGGUAGAGCACUGUUUCGGCUAGGGGGCCAUCCCGGCUUACCAACCCGAUGCAAACUGCGAAUACCGGAGAAUGUUAUCACGGGAGACACACGGCGGGUGCUAACGUCCGUCGUGAAGAGGGAAACAACCCAGACCGCCAGCUAAGGUCCCAAAGUCAUGGUUAAGUGGGAAACGAUGUGGGAAGGCCCAGACAGCCAGGAUGUUGGCUUAGAAGCAGCCAUCAUUUAAAGAAAGCGUAAUAGCUCACUGGUCGAGUCGGCCUGCGCGGAAGAUGUAACGGGGCUAAACCAUGCACCGAAGCUGCGGCAGCGACACUGUGUGUUGUUGGGUAGGGGAGCGUUCUGUAAGCCUGUGAAGGUGUGUCGUGAGGCAUGCUGGAGGUAUCAGAAGUGCGAAUGCUGACAUAAGUAACGAUAAAGCGGGUGAAAAGCCCGCUCGCCGGAAGACCAAGGGUUCCUGUCCAACGUUAAUCGGGGCAGGGUGAGUCGACCCCUAAGGCGAGGCCGAAAGGCGUAGUCGAUGGGAAACGGGUUAAUAUUCCCGUACUUGGUGUUACUGCGAAGGGGGGACGGAGAAGGCUAUGUUGGCCGGGCGACGGUUGUCCCGGUUUAAGCGUGUAGGUGUGUGUUCCAGGUAAAUCCGGUUCACUUUAACACUGAGGCGUGACGACGAGGCACUACGGUGCUGAAGCAACAAAUGCCCUGCUUCCAGGAAAAGCCUCUAAGCAUCAGGUAACAUCAAAUCGUACCCCAAACCGACACAGGUGGUCAGGUAGAGAAUACCAAGGCGCUUGAGAGAACUCGGGUGAAGGAACUAGGCAAAAUGGUGCCGUAACUUCGGGAGAAGGCACGCUGACACGUAGGUGAAGUGAUUUACUCAUGGAGCUGAAGUCAGUCGAAGAUACCAGCUGGCUGCAACUGUUUAUUAAAAACACAGCACUGUGCAAACACGAAAGUGGACGUAUACGGUGUGACGCCUGCCCGGUGCCGGAAGGUUAAUUGAUGGGGUCAGCGCAAGCGAAGCUCCUGAUCGAAGCCCCGGUAAACGGCGGCCGUAACUAUAACGGUCCUAAGGUAGCGAAAUUCCUUGUCGGGUAAGUUCCGACCUGCACGAAUGGCGUAAUGAUGGCCAGGCUGUCUCCACCCGAGACUCAGUGAAAUUGAACUCGCUGUGAAGAUGCAGUGUACCCGCGGCAAGACGGAAAGACCCCGUGAACCUUUACUAUAGCUUGACACUGAACAUUGAGCCUUGAUGUGUAGGAUAGGUGGGAGGCUUUGAAGUGUGGACGCCAGUCUGCAUGGAGCCGACCUUGAAAUACCACCCUUUAAUGUUUGAUGUUCUAACGUGGACCCGUUACCCGGGUUGCGGACAGUGUCUGGUGGGUAGUUUGACUGGGGCGGUCUCCUCCUAAAGAGUAACGGAGGAGCACGAAGGUUGGCUAAUCCUGGUCGGACAUCAGGAGGUUAGUGCAAUGGCAUAAGCCAGCUUGACUGCGAGCGUGACGGCGCGAGCAGGUGCGAAAGCAGGUCAUAGUGAUCCGGUGGUUCUGAAUGGAAGGGCCAUCGCUCAACGGAUAAAAGGUACUCCGGGGAUAACAGGCUGAUACCGCCCAAGAGUUCAUAUCGACGGCGGUGUUUGGCACCUCGAUGUCGGCUCAUCACAUCCUGGGGCUGAAGUAGGUCCCAAGGGUAUGGCUGUUCGCCAUUUAAAGUGGUACGCGAGCUGGGUUUAGAACGUCGUGAGACAGUUCGGUCCCUAUCUGCCGUGGGCGCUGGAGAACUGAGGGGGGCUGCUCCUAGUACGAGAGGACCGGAGUGGACGCAUCACUGGUGUUCGGGUUGUCAUGCCAAUGGCACUGCCCGGUAGCUAAAUGCGGAAGAGAUAAGUGCUGAAAGCAUCUAAGCACGAAACUUGCCCCGAGAUGAGUUCUCCCUGAGACUUAAAGUCUCCUGAAGGAACGUUGAAGACGACGACGUUGAUAGGCCGGGUGUGUAAGCGCAGCGAUGCGUUGAGCUAACCGGUACUAAUGAACCGUGAGGCUUAACCUUACAACGCCGAAG
rnacentral:rRNA from 1 species